AGAGCAUCAGCGAUAUAGAGUUCAAAAAUAGGCGCAAAAAUCUGAAACAGUCAAGCCCUCUACCUUGUGGAAAAUGUACUCUAUGUUGAAAAGUACCAUUUCAGUGAAGAAAAAUGUGAACAUAGCCACUUUUCCAGAGGUUAUCGCGUUCCUCAAAUGGAAGAAUGUUGGGUAUAAAGUGAAGAAAUCAAAAGUUUAAAAUAGCGGACAGAUCAACAAAUUCUUUUGGAAAACAGCUAAUGAACAUAUCUAGCACCAAAGGUUUUAAUAAUUUAUGGGAUAGCUGGUACGUGUAGAAAGAAAGAACAAAAAUGUCAGUCACAUGCACAUAGUGCCUGGAUAUUGAAGAAGCACACGCAAAGAUAAACUAAUGAAUGAAUAAGCAAUUGCUCUUAAACCGGUCGUGGCAGUACCAAAAUUGUGCAUGGAUCGGCUGGAAAAAAAUUACAGGAUUACUUCCUCGAUAUCGCUUAUUGAGAGGGCACCUGAACAAAAUAAGACUGUUUACUUCAGCUGCAGACAGUGCAA